rnacentral:rRNA from 1 species
GACGAACGCUGGCGGCGUGCCUAAUACAUGCAAGUCGAGCGCGGGAAGCUUGCGGAAUCCUUCGGGAGGAAGUGAGCGGACCGAGCGGCGGACGGGUGAGUAACACGUGGGCAACCUGCCCGUAAGACGGGGAUAACCCCGGGAAACCGGGGCUAAUACCGGAUAGGUGACCUUUCUGCAUGGAGGGGUCAUGAAAGGCGGCGGAAGCCGUCGCUUACGGAGGGGCCCGCGGCGCAUUAGCUAGUUGGUGAGGGAAGGGCUCACCAAGGCGACGAUGCGUAGCCGGCCUGAGAGGGUGAACGGCCACACUGGGACUGAGACACGGCCCAGACUCCUACGGGAGGCAGCAGUAGGGAAUCUUCCGCAAUGGACGGAAGUCUGACGGAGCAACGCCGCGUGAGUGAGGAAGGCCUUCGGGUCGUAAAGCUCUGUUGUUCGUGAAGAAAGGGGUUGGCCAGGAAAUGGGCCGA